rnacentral:lncRNA from 1 species
AUCCCUCAUUUUCACUCAUUUUUUAAAGCCCCAAACAUUUGAGAAGUUCUAAUUUUAUCUUCCAACCAUUUUCCUCCUUUUUCUUACUUGUCCUUGUAAAGCUUGAUUUUUAUAAAGAGCAGAGAGAGAACCAGGAAUCAAAUUAAGAAGAACUAAAACAGGUCCAUUGGUUCGUUACAAACAAGGUAUUUUAGACAGAGGAGGAAGUAACUACCCUUUACUGCUUUUUCUUUACUGAAUGUGAUGGAUCUCCUGACACAACAUUUUCAGUUAUUACAUGAUAGUUGUUUGUGAGUAUAUUGCACUCGUAUACUCCUCCAUAACUUGGAAACACUGAAGAAAUUAUGUAUUUUCUGAUAUUUCAAGUUAAAAUGUUUGUGCACGUACUCACUCCCGUGGUUUCUUCAAUUAAGCAGUGUAAUGUAGUAAAACAUAAUUGGUUGCACUGUUGCAGCCGUUUAUUCACUUGGGUUAAACUUAUUGUGGAUUGUAAGGGCAUGACAUGAUUCAUUUUGGUGUUAUUUGACAUCAUCUCUUGGACAAUGACUGUAGUUAUUGAAAUUGUCUAAUUCUUUGUAUAUUUAUGUGGGGCUUCAAUCAUGGAUUUAUAAUAAAUGGUAGAUGUUUUGUUCGUAUAACUUCAACAGACUAUGAGAAAAAAAGAUAAUAUGUCAUGAUAUGGGGUUUUGGCCUUGUAGAUAUAUAAGUAUAGGGAAUUUAUAGCUGUUGAGUACGGGUACAUACAAAAGAAAUAGUAACAAAAAUAACAUCACCUUUUAACCGUUGCAAACUGGCAAAAACUGUUUUCCUUGAAAUAAUUUAUUGUCCGUUCUUGACACAACUUCAUAAUCCAUCUCUUCAGCUACCUAAUUGACUAAUAGGAGGAUAUGAGCUUUUGAUUUCCAUAUACCUUUAAUAAGUACUGUUGAAUUAGGUACACAUAAAUCAUAAGAUGUUGAAUCUUUCUUGGCAUUUUCUCCAUAUGAACUGACUAUACUUUUAUUUUAUUAUCUAAGCAUUGAUUGGGAAUCCUAGAUCAUUGUCAUUGAUUCAAAGAAUUCAACUAUAACAAUCAGAGAUACUGAUUGUUGCUUAUGUUAAUACUGAACUUGAAGUUUGUUUCUUAUAUUAAAGUUACUUUUAUUUCAUCUUGAGCUUAACUGCCUUAAGAGUGCCCCUCUUAGUAUAGAGUAUAGCGAGGCUGUGCCUGGUACUAUCAUUCUCUUCACUAGAACUGAUGAAAAUUGUAUUUCUUAUUCACCCUUGUUUCGAAGUUUAGCACAUAGUGUGAUUGAUAGUUGGACAGUCUGACUUAUAAAGCUUUCUAUUUGUGAAAUAUUCCAUAAUCUUGGUUUAAGAUCCAAAUGCACAGAUUUGCAUGUUAGUUUCAUUGUUCUUGCAUUGUAUCUUGAUAAAUUUAUCUUGUUCAUUUUUUACUUGAGGAAAUAGAGGAGAGAAUGUUUCUGUGAUGACUAAUGCUAAUGCAUGAAGUUCAAGAUUGUUUGUUAAUUGUGUGUGUGGGUCAUUGUACUGUUUACUUCCUGGGCUUUGUUUUUAAAUCUUCAAUGCCCCCAUUUAAGAGAUACAAAAUCUUGUUGGCAAUGGUGGUGUUAAAUUGCGGGCGAUGCUUGGUUUAAUUUUUUAUUUUAAACAAUUACCAAAAUGACUUUGAACAAUUCAUGGAACUGUUUAAAGGAAUCAAGCUGAUCUUCAUCUCAGAGCUAAACCAAAUGACAUAGUUCUUUGAUAUGGGUUCUUUUAGUUAGCCUGUAUCUACUGUUAAGCUCAUUUCAAUUGUAUGAACAACUUGACAACAGUAUUACUUUGUUCUCUUGCAAAUAAAUUAUGUAGCUAAAUGUUUACAUUCUAUAUACAAAAGCUGCGUCAAUAUUUGAAAGAAAACAUUUCACAACGUUUUAUAUUCAUAAUUCAUUAAAUGUAAAAUAAAAUAAAAUUGAACAGUACAACAUAUAUGCAAGCCUUAAUCUGGAUGAGGGAAAUAUUCAAAUAUUUGUGACUUGGAAUGAUGUUUUUUAAGUAUUGAUUGCAAUUUGGUUCCGAAUAGAUUCAUUGACAUCAAAUGUGCAACCUUGAAUAGAUUCAUUGACAUCAAAUGUGCAACCUUGAACACGACUGAUCCUUGAAAUGCUCAACCUGAUUGAACCUACUCAUUCUAUUAAAAAUAUAGUGGAGGUUGGUUUGCGCGUAACAUACGAACAUUUUAAUUCUCCUUGUCACACUUAGAUACGUCAACUUACUACUCAUUCUGUUUGCAUUCCUUUUUGCAAACUGUAGCUCUUGCAAAUCUCGAUGAAAAGUUGUUUUGUUCUCCAUUUGUUCUUGUAAUCUGUCAGCAUUCUGUUACACCCUAGAUGAUUUUCAGGUUU